rnacentral:rRNA from 1 species
GACGAACGCUGGCGGCGUGCUUAACACAUGCAAGUCGAACGGUGAGGCCCUUCGGGGUACACGAGUGGCGAACGGGUGAGUAACACGUGGGUGAUCUGCCCUGCACUUCGGGAUAAGCCUGGGAAACUGGGUCUAAUACCGGAUAGGACUCCGGACUGCAUGGUCUGGGGUGGAAAGCUUUUGCGGUUUGGGAUGGGCCCGCGGCCUAGCAGCUUGUUGGUGGGGUGAUGGCCUACCAAGGCGACGACGGGUAGCCGGCCUGAGAGGGUGACCGGCCACACUGGGACUGAGAUACGGCCCAGACUCCUACGGGAGGCAGCAGUGGGGAAUAUUGCACAAUGGGCGCAAGCCUGAUGCAGCGACGCCGCGCGAGGGAUGACGGCCUUCGGGUUGUAAACCUCUUUCAGCAUCGACGAAGCGAAAGUGACGGUAGGUGCAGAAGAAGGACCGGCCAACUACGUGCCAGCAGCCGCCGUAA